CGGAAGUGUGCGUAGUUCAUAGGCUAUAAUGGCAAGACCGCGAAUUGAGGGUGGUAGAAGCGCUGACAAUGCUACGAGAUUUGGAUGAAAGAGAGUCAGAUGGAGGGGAGGAACUUGAUGCUGAGAUCGACUAUGAUGAUGAAUGGGGGAAUUAUUCAAUAGAUUACGAUGCUGGCUGCGAUUCUGAUUAACGAUGCCCAGCGUGCAGGUGUCAACAACUCAGAUGGAGGGAGAGGAGAAGGGGAAGGACGGCACGGUUUGGAUAUAACAGCCAGUGGACAACGCUGCAGGUCGGUUAUGAGCACAGAAUGGCACCCUAUUGGAAUCGGGCCCUACACCUUACGCCAAAGUCAGAAUCGACCGAGCAUUCGACAGCUCCCAUUGUUUAUGUAACAUGGAGAUGUUGCAGCACAUCAAGGACUGUACUGUAGCUGAGGCGCGCCAGGCGAGAGGAGACAACACGUGGGACAUGUCUGUGGAUGAGCUGGAAGCGUUCAUUGCGCUCCUAUAUGUCCGAGGGCAGUACGUAGGAAUGAGUCACUAUGCCCACGGAACCGCUUCAGAGAGAUCAUGCGAUACCUGUGUUUUGACGCAAGAGAGACCAGACGCAUGCGCCUGGAAACGGACGUUUGGGACGCGUUUGUACAGAACUGUGUUUCCUCUUACAAGCCAGGAGUGAACAUUUCCGUGGAGGAGCAAUGUUUCCCCGCAAAAGCUAAGUGCACCUUUACGCAGUACAUCCCCUACAAGCAAGACAAGUGGGGCAUGAAGUUUCGGUUGGCAGUUGACGUCGACAGCAAGUACGUGCUGAAUGUCUUUCCAUAUCUGGGGAAAGGUGAAUCUCGGCGUCCUGAAAUUGUGGUGAUGAGGCUUGUAGACCUUACCUUGGCGAGGGUAGGAAUGUAAACACAGACGAGAUCUUCACAUCACUGCCAUUGGCAAAUAAGUUGAUUGACAAGAACACAAGCUUAGUCGGGGUUAUGAAAGUGAGCUGGGGGCUGCCUCUCUCUGUGAGCAACCAGGCACAGGCAGAGCUGUUCUCCACAACGGCGUUGAAGCACGACAAAGCAACACGGUUUACAGAUGUUGGUGUGGAUAACAUGGCCAGACAGUUCACGGUGAAAGGGGGUACUCGCCGCUGGCCUAUUGCCGUAUUCUACAACCUGCUUGACCUGGCUGCUAUCAACGCGCACGUUUUGUUCACCCAGUGCACCGGUAAGACAACCCCGAGGAGAGAUUUCAUCAUGUAGUUGGCAUUGGAGCUUCGUGAGAAUCACACGAGCGCCAGGGGCAAGGCGGCAGCGGACGAUGUCCCAAAUGACGCACCACCGCUCUCCGAGAAGAAGAGACAGUGCCAGGUGCACGGAUGCAUGCGGAACAAAAACUGCGACUUCUACGGGACCUGUACGCGAUUUGUCUGCGGAAAGUGCUCAUUCCGGAAUAAAGAUUUGUCGAAGAUUUGUGUUGACUGUCAUGCCAUGUUACUGUAAGAGUUUAAGGAAUAACUGCUGCUAUGCAUAAAGGCGUACAUGCCGAGAGAGGCCACAACGAGUUCAUUAAUGACUGACGCCAGGACAGGCUGUUUAUACGACUGACGCUUGUUAUAUUAUAUUAUUUUAUAAUACCGUUAUUGGUUUACAUUUGCUCGUUGUACACUUUUUUUGAGCUGACUCUAGUCCCAUUUAGCCCUAUUGACAGUGCGUAUUUUGGAUACACCUAUAGCCUACUAGGUAGACUACUUAGACUAACAUGGUGGUAUAAAAAGAAGAUGCUUCUGAAUUAAAUGACUGAAUGUGA